UACGUAGGGGGCGAGUGUUGUCCGGAAUCAUUGGGCGUAAAGGGAGUGUAGGCGGUUUUGUAAGUCAGAUGUUAAAUCCAUUGGCUCAACCAAUGUAAGCAUUUGAAACUACAGGGCUUGAGUACAGGAGAGGAGAGUGGAAUUCCUAGUGGAGCGGUGAAAUGCGUAGAUAUUAGGAGGAACACCAGUGGCGAAGGCGACUCUCUGGACUGUUACUGACGCUGAGGCUCGAAAGCGUGGGGAGCAAACAGG
rnacentral:rRNA from 1 species